ACUGCUCAGUAACACGUGGACAACCUGCCCUUAGGUUGGGUAUAAACCCGGGAAACUGGGUAUAAUACCCGAUAGGUCUCGAUUGCUGGAAUGCAUCGAGAUUUAAAGCUCCGGCGCCUAAGGAUGGGUCUGCGGCCUAUCAGGUAGUAGUGGGUGUAGCGUACCUACUAGCCUACGACGGGUACGGGUUGUGAGAGCAAGAGCCCGGAGAUGGAUUCUGAGUCACGAAUCCAGGCCCUACGGGGUGCAGCAGGCGCGAAAACUUUACAAUGCUGGCAACAGCGAUAAGGGAACCUCGAGUGCCAGGUUACAAAUCUGGCUGUCGAGAUGCCUAAAAAGCAUUUCAUAGCAAGGGCCGGGCAAGACCGGUGCCAGCCGCCGCGGUAACACCGGCGGCUCGAGUGGUAACCGUUAUUAUUGGGUCUAAAGGGUCUGUAGCCGGCCGGAUAAGUCUCUUGGGAAAUCUGGCAGCUUAACUGUCAGGCUUUCAGGAGAUACUGUCUGGCUCGAGGCCGGGAGAGGUGAGAGGUACUUCAGGGGUAGGGGUGAAAUCUUGUAAUCCUUGAAGGACCACCAGUGGCGAAGGCGUCUCACCAGAACGGACCUGACGGCAAGGGACGAAAGCUAGGGGCACGAACCGGAUUAGAUACCCGGGUAGUCCUAGCCGUAAACGAUACUCGCUAGGUGUCGGCCACGGUGCGACCGUUGUCGGUGCCGUAGGGAAGCCGUGAAGCGAGCCACCUGGGGAAGUACGGCCGCAAGGCUGAAACUUAAAGGAAUUGGCGGGGGAGCAC
rnacentral:rRNA from 1 species